rnacentral:rRNA from 1 species
UACGAAGGGGGCUAGCGUUGUUCGGAUUUACUGGGCGUAAAGCGCACGUAGGCGGAUCGUUAAGUCAGGGGUGAAAUCCUGGGGCUCAACCCCAGAACUGCCCUUGAUACUGGCGAUCUCGAGUCCGGAAGAGGUGAGUGGAACUCCUAGUGUAGAGGUGGAAUUCGUAGAUAUUAGGAAGAACACCAGUGGCGAAGGCGGCUCACUGGUCCGGUACUGACGCUGAGGUGCGAAAGCGUGGGGAGCAAACAGG